GGUACAUAUUCCCCAUUUUUGGUACAAAUUCCCCAUUUUUGGGUAGAAAAUUCCGAUUUUGGGUACAAAAUUCCGAUUUUCGCUACAAAUUCCCGUUUUUUGGGUACAAAUUCCGAUUUUCGCUACAAAUUCCCAAUUUUCGGUACAAAUUCCCGGUUUUUUGGAUACAAAUUCCCGUUUUUUGUGUCCAAAUUCCCGUUUUUUUGGGUACAAAAUUCCGAUUUUCGCUACAAAUUCCCCUUUUUUUUGGGUACAAAUUCCCGAUUUUUGGGUACAAAUUCCCGAUUUUUUUGGGUACAAAUUCCCGAUUUGGAGUACAAAAUUCCGAUUUUCGCUACAAAUUCCCGAUUUUUGGGUACAAAUUCCCGUUUUUCGGGUCCAAAUUCCCAUUUUUUGGGUCCAAAUUCCCGGUUUCCGGCGCACAUUCCCGGUUUCCGUCUCCAUUGCGGUUUUGGGCUGAAAUCCGGCGGUUUUGGUCAAAAGGCGCCCCCCAGCAGCGCCACCCGCGGCCCCCCCAGGCUGACGAUGGCGGGCGGCGGCCAGAUGACGUAAGCGGGCAGCGCUGACGUCAGC
rnacentral:lncRNA from 1 species